GAUGAACGCUAGCGAUAGGCUUAACACAUGCAAGUCGAGGGGUAACAUGGAGAGAAGCUUGCUUCACUCUGAUGACGACCGGCGGAUGGGUGAGUAACGCGUAUGCAACUUGCCUCUUAGUGGGGGAUAACCCGGAGAAAUCCGGACUAAUACCGCAUAUUCUUAAUUUCUCGCAUGAGUUAUUAAGGAAAGAUUUAUUGCUAAGAGAUAGGCAUGCGUUCCAUUAGUUAGUUGGUGAGGUAACGGCUCACCAAGGCAUCGAGGGAUAGGGGAGCUGAGAGGCUGAUCCCCCACAUUGGGACUGAGACACGGCCCAAACUCCUACGGGAGGCAGCAGUGAGGAAUAUUGGUCAAUGGAGGAAACUCUGAACCAGCCAAGUCGCGUGAAGGAUGACGGUCCUAUGGAUUGUAAACUUCUUUAGUAGGUGAGUAAGGAUAGGUACGUGUACCUAUUAGAAAGUAGCCUAAGAAUAAGUAUCGGCUAACUCCGUGCCAGCAGCCGCGGUAAUACGGAGGAUACGAGCGUUAUCCGGAUUUAUUGGGUUUAAAGGGUGCGUAGGUGGCUGAUUAAGUCAGUGGUGAAAAGCUAUGGCUCAACCAUAGUCUUGCCGUUGAUACUGGUUAGCUUGAGUGUAGAUGAUGUAGGCGGAAUGCGUAGUGUAGCGGUGAAAUGCAUAGAUAUUACGCAGAACUCCGAUUGCGAAGGCAGCUUACAAAACUACUACUGACACUGAGGCACGAAAGCGUGGGUAUCAAACAGGAUUAGAUACCCUGGUAGUCCACGCCGUAAACGAUGAGUGCUAGGUGUUGGGGGGUCAAACCUCGGUGCCGCAAGCAAACGCAAUAAGCACUCCGCCUGGGGAGUACGUGCACAAGCAUGAAACUCAAAGGAAUUGACGGGGACCCGCACAAGCAGCGGAGCAUGUGGUUUAAUUCGUGGCUACGCGAAGAACCUUACCAGGGCUUGACAUAUAUAUGAGGGGACAUAGAGAUAUGAAACCAGUAAGAGCUUGCUCUUAACAUAUAUACAGGUGGUGCAUGGUUGUCGUCAGCUCGUGUCGUGAGAUGUUGGGUUAAGUCCCGCAACGAGCGCAACCCUUGCAAUUAGUUACUAACAGAUAGUGCUGAGGACUCUAAUUGGACUGCCGAUGAUAAAUCGGAGGAAGGUGGGGAUGACGUCAAAUCAUCAUGCCCCUUAUGUCCUGGGCUACACACGUGCUACAAUGGUCGGUACAAAGAGGAGCGAAAUGGUGACAUCAAGCAAAUCUCAAAAAACCGAUCCCAGUUCGGAUUGUACUCUGCAACUCGAGUACAUGAAGUCGGAGUUGCUAGUAAUCGCGGAUCAGAAUGCCGCGGUGAAUGCGUUCCCGGGUCU
rnacentral:rRNA from 1 species